GUAAACGAUGGAUGCCCGCUGUUUGCCCUUCGGGGUGAGUGGCUAAGCGAAAGCGUUAAGCAUCCCACCUGGGGAGUACGCCGGCAACGGUGAAACUCAAAGGAAUUGACGGGGGCCCGCACAAGCGGAGGAACAUGUGGUUUAAUUCGAUGAUACGCGAGGAGCCUUACCCGGGCUUGAAUUGCAGAUGACGGAUCUAGAGAUAGUGACUUCCUUCGGGACAUCUGUGAAGGUGCUGCAUGGUUGUCGUCAGCUCGUGCCGUGAGGUGUCGGCUUAAGUGCCAUAACGAGCGCAACCCUUCUCUUCAGUUGCCAUCAGGUAGAGCUGGGCACUCUGGAGACACUGCCACCGUAAGGUGUGAGGAAGGUGGGGAUGACGUCAAAUCAGCACGGCCCUUACGUCCGGGGCUACACACGUGUUACAAUGGCCGGUACAGAAAGUCGGAUGCCCGUAAGGUCAUUCUAAUCAAGAAAGCCGGUCCCAGUUCGGACUGAGGUCUGCAACCCGACCUCACGAAGCUGGAUUCGCUAGUAAUCGCGCAUCAGCCAUGGCGCGGUGAAUACGUUCCCGGGCCUUGUACACACCGCCCGUCAAGCCA
rnacentral:rRNA from 1 species